ACCUGCCCUAUGAUAAUUAUUAAAUGGCCGCGAUAUUUUGAUCGUGCAAAGGUAGCAUAAUCAUUAGUUUUUUAAUUAAGAACUGGAAUGAAAGGUUGAACGAGAAAAAAACUGUCUCAAUUUAAUUUAAUUAGAAUUUUAUUUUUAAGUAAAAAAGCUUAAAUAUUUUUAAAAGACGAGAAGACCCUAUAGAGUUUUAUAUUUAAUUAAGUUUUAAAAAAAUUUUAGUAUUUAAUUUUUUAUAAAUUAUUAAAUAUUUAGUUGGGGUGACUUAAAAAUUAAAUAAACUUUUUUUUAUAGUUAAACAUUGAUAUAUGAGAAAUUGAUCCAUAAUUUAUGAUUAUAAGAUUA
rnacentral:rRNA from 1 species